rnacentral:rRNA from 1 species
UACAGAGGGGGCAAGCGUUGUUCGGAAUUACUGGGCGUAAAGGGCGCGUAGGCGGCCUCUUAAGUCGAACGUGAAAUCCCCGGGCUCAACCCGGGAACUGCGUCCGAUACUGGGAGGCUUGAAUCCGGGAGAGGGAUGUGGAAUUCCAGGUGUAGCGGUGAAAUGCGUAGAUAUCUGGAGGAACACCGGUGGCGAAGGCGACAUCCUGGACCGGUAUUGACGCUGAGGCGCGAAAGCCAGGGGAGCAAACGGG